ACACUGACGUCGCGACGCAUAUCAAUAAGCGGAGGAAAAGAAACUAACAAGGAUUCCCUUAGUAACGGCGAGUGAAGCGGGAAGAGCUCAAAUUUGAAAUCUUCAAGGUUCUACCUUGACGAAUUGUAGUUUAAAGAAGUGUUUUCUGUUAGUGGAGUGGCAAAAGUUCUUUGGAAUAGGACAUCAUAGAGGGUGAGAAUCCCGUAUUUGGUCAUUCCUUCUAGCUUUGUGAUACACUUUCAAAGAGUCGGAUUGUUUGGGGAUGCAGUCCAAAAUGGGUGGUAAAUUUCAUCUAAAGCUAAAUAUUGGCGAGAGACCGAUAGCGAACAAGUACCGUGAGGGAAAGAUGAAAAGAACUUUGAAAAGAGAGUUAAACAGUACGUGAAAUUGUCAAAAGGGAAGCGUUUGACACCAGUGUUGUUUUUCCGAAAAUCAAUUAUAAAUGUUUUGUUUCUGAGGAGUGAUGACUUCAUCGGCUUCCUUCUCUCUUCACGAAACUUUUGUAAUGCACUUUUCGGUUAACAAGUCAACAUCAAUUUCUUUUGUUGUAAAAGAGUAUUCGGAAGGUGGCUUUCUUUUCGGAGAAAGUGUUUAUAGCCCUAUACUUCUAGCAAUCGGAGAGAUUGAGGUCUGCAGCGUAGAUCCUUCGGGGUUAGAUACACUUGUGCUAAGUUAUAGCUUUUCAUAGACAACUUGUUGACUAUGUUUAGUCUUGUAGCUUACUCGCUUGUGCUAUUUUACCUACGCUUAGGAUGUUGAGUCGUAGAGCACGCAG
rnacentral:rRNA from 1 species